rnacentral:rRNA from 1 species
UACGUAGGGUGCGAGCGUUGUCCGGAAUUAUUGGGCGUAAAGAGCUCGUAGGCGGCUUGUCGCGUCGGAUGUGAAAGCCCGGGGCUUAACUCCGGGUCUGCAUUCGAUACGGGCAGGCUAGAGUUCGGUAGGGGAGAUCGGAAUUCCUGGUGUAGCGGUGAAAUGCGCAGAUAUCAGGAGGAACACCGGUGGCGAAGGCGGAUCUCUGGGCCGAUACUGACGUGAGGAGCGAAAAGCGUGGGGGAGCGAACAGG